rnacentral:rRNA from 1 species
CGACGUGAGUAACCUGCCCUGGAGUGGGGAAUAACAGCUGGAAACAGCUGCUAAUACCGCAUAAUGCAGUUGGGUCGCAUGGCUCUGACUGCCAAAGAUUUAUCGCUCUGGGAUGGACUCGCGUCUGAUUAGCUAGUUGGUGGGGCAACGGCCCACCAAGGCGACGAUCAGUAGCCGGACUGAGAGGUUGGCCGGCCACAUUGGGACUGAGACACGGCCCAGACUCCUACGGGAGGCAGCAG